ACCAAUUUUAGCGAACCUGAUCUUUUUUUUGAUCAUGGUCUCGCGAAAAUCGUAUUUAAAACCCCCACUCUUGUAAGAAUCAUUUUUUUUUGUGUAUAAAAAUAACAAAGAUCACUUUCA
rnacentral:misc_RNA from 1 species